rnacentral:misc_RNA from 1 species
AAGUCGUAACAAGGUUUCCGUAGGUGAACCUGCGGAAGGAUCAUUACCAAAUCCAUAUUUCUUAUACCCCAUGUGAACUAUUGAAAAAAAUUGUAUUUGAUUGUCUUUUGGGGAGGUUGUUGUUUUUUGUUUUUACUACGGAAAAUAACAAAGAAAAAGCAUUUACUAAACUUUAUAUAUUGUGCUUUAACAAUAUGUAAAAAAAUGUUUUUUUACUCCCCAUAAGAUAUUUUAUUGUUAAACAACUUUUCUAUUUAAGAAAAAAUUUUGGAAUUUUUUUAUUGAAAAAUAAUAAAAAAACAACUUUUAACGGUGGAUCUCUUGGCUCGU